GCGUAAGCGCGCGCAGGCGGUUUCUUAAGUCUGAUGUGAAAGCCCACGGCUCAACCGUGGAGGGUCAUUGGAAACUGGGGAACUUGAGUGCAGAAGAGAAAAGCGGAAUUCCACGUGUAGCGGUGAAAUGCGUAGAGAUGUGGAGGAACACCAGUGGCGAAGGCGGCUUUUUGGUCUGUAACUGACGCUGAGGCGCGAAAGCGUGGGGAGCAAACAGGAUUAGAUACCCUGGUAGUCCACGCCGUAAACGAUGAGUGCUAAGUGUUAGAGGGUUUCCGCCCUUUAGUGCUGCAGCUAACGCAUUAAGCACUCCGCCUGGGGAGUACGGUCGCAAGACUGAAACUCAAAGGAAUUGACGGGGGCCCGCACAAGCGGUGGAGCAUGUGGUUUAAUUCGAAUCAACGCGAAGAACCUUACCAGGUCUUGACAUCCUCUGACAACUCUAGAGAUAGAGCGUUCCCCUUCGGGGGACAGAGUGACAGGUGGUGCAUGGUUGUCGUCAGCUCGUGUCGUGAGAUGUUGGGUUAAGUCCCGCAACGAG
rnacentral:rRNA from 2 species